GAUGAACGCUGGCGGCGUGCUUAACACAUGCAAGUCGAACGGAAAGGCUCUUGCUUGCAGGGGUACUCGAGUGGCGAACGGGUGAGUAACACGUGGGUGAUCUGCCCUGCACUUCGGGAUAAGCCUGGGAAACUGGGUCUAAUACCGGAUAGGACGAUGGUUUGGAUGCCAUUGUGGAAAGUUUUUCGGUGUGGGAUGAGCUCGCGGCCUAUCAGCUUGUUGGUGGGGUAAUGGCCUACCAAGGCGUCGACGGGUAGCCGGCCUGAGAGGGUGUACGGCCACAUUGGGACUGAGAUACGGCCCAGACUCCUACGGGAGGCAGCAGUGGGGAAUAUUGCACAAUGGGCGCAAGCCUGAUGCAGCGACGCCGCGUGGGGGAUGACGGCCUUCGGGUUGUAAACUCCUUUCGCUAGGGACGAAGCGCAAGUGACGGUACCUGGAGAAGAAGCACCGGCUAACUACGUG
rnacentral:rRNA from 1 species